GACGAACCGUGCGAACGUUGUUCGGAAUCACUGGGCUUAAAGGGCGCGUAGGCGGGCUGUCAAGUCCGGGGUGAAAUCCUUCGGCUCAACCGGAGAAUUGCCUCGGAUACUGGCAGUCUUGAGGGAGGUAGGGGCACGCGGAACUUCCGGUGGAGCGGUGAAAUGCGUUGAUAUCGGAAGGAACGCCGGUGGCGAAGGCGGCAUCCUGGACCGGCAUUGACGCUGAUGAGCGAAAGCUAGGGGAGCAAACGGG
rnacentral:rRNA from 1 species